CAGCCGCCACGGUAAUACGUAGGUCCCGAGCGUUGUCCGGAUUUAUUGGGCGUAAAGCGAGCGCAGGCAGUUAGAUAAGUCUGAAGUUAAAGGCUGUGGCUUAACCAUAGUACGCUUUGGAAACUGUUUAACUUGAGUGCAAGAGGGGAGAGUGGAAUUCCAUGUGUAGCGGUGAAAUGCGUAGAUAUAUGGAGGAACACCGGUGGCGAAAGCGGCUCUCUGGCUUGUAACUGACGCUGAGGCUCGAAAGCGUGGGGAGCAAACAGGAUUAGAUACCCCCGUAGUCCCUGUCUCUUAUACA
rnacentral:rRNA from 1 species